GAUGAAUGCUGGCGGCGCGCCUAACACAUGCAAGUCGAGCGGAAAGGCCCUUCGGGGUACUCGAGCGGCGGACGGCUGAGUAACGCGUGGGAACAUGCCCCAAAGUGAGGAAUAACUGCCCGAAAGGGUAGCUAAUGCCGCAUAUGAUCUUAGGAUUAAAGGAUUUAUCCGCUUUGGGAGUGGCCCGCGUACGAUUAGGUAGUUGGUGAGGUAAAGGCUCACCAAGCCUACGAUCGUUAACUGGUCUGAGAGGAUGAUCAGUCAGACUGGAACUGAGACACGGUCCAGACUCCUACGGGAGGCAGCAGUGAGGAAUCUUCCACAAUGGGCGAAAGCCUGAUGGAGCGACGCCGCGUGCAGGAUGAAGGCCUUCGGGUUGUAAACUGCUUUUAUAAGUGAAGAAUAUGACGGUAACUUAUGAAUAAGCACCGGCUAACUACGUGCCAGCCGCCGCAGUA
rnacentral:rRNA from 1 species